CUAAGGACCGGGUUUUCUGCAAGGUCGGCGCAGCAGCAGGACCGAACCGGAAACAGCGCAUCCUCCGCUCAGGGACUUCGGCAGGGUGGUCCCACCGACAUCUCAUUUGCCCUGUCCUCCGACCUUUCUACGAGAUACAUGGAUUUCCCCCACACGCCAAGAAUUUCUCCACCUGUGUGUCCUAUAAUUCAACUCAAUUUCGACAGUAUCUACCUGGAGUUAGAGUCAGAUCCCACAGGAGAAUGGGAACUGGGAUGGAAACUUCCUUGCAGAGACCUCAGUACCUGUGCUCUUGCUUCAUUCAGUAAGCUUUCCGUGCCUUGUGAAGGAUGCCAUCUAGAGCGUCAGACAGCUUUUCCGUGAGAGAAGCACAAUGAAGUCCUGAAGCCUUUCAAUAGUUUUCCAAGUUUUAAUUGGAAGCCUAGAUAUUUGAUAAAUACUAUGGGAAAAAUCACAGUACUGGACAAUGAGUAGCUUGACCCGCACAUGUGCAAAAGGGGAGGAAGGGUGUUCUUGAGGG